GGGAGGCAGCAGUGGGGAAUAUUGCACAAUGGGCGCAAGCCUGAUGCAGCCAUGCCGCGUGUAUGAAGAAGGCCUUCGGGUUGUAAAGUACUUUCAGCAGUGAGGAAGGUGGGUAUGUUAAUAGCAUAUUCAUUUGACGUUAGCUGCAGAAGAAGCACCGGCUAACUCCGUGCCAGCAGCCGCGGUAAUACGGAGGGUGCGAGCGUUAAUCGGAAUUACUGGGCGUAAAGCGCAUGCAGGUGGUUUGUUAAGUCAGAUGUGAAAGCCCGGGGCUCAACCUCGGAAUUGCAUUUGAAACUGGCAAACUAGAGUACUGUAGAGGGGGUAGAAUUUCAGGUGUAGCGGUGAAAUGCGUAGAGAUCUGAAGGAAUACCGGUGGCGAAGGCGGCCCCCUGGACAGAUACUGACACUCAGAUGCGAAAGCGUGGGGAGCAAACAGGAUUAGAUACCCUGGUAG
rnacentral:rRNA from 1 species